rnacentral:rRNA from 1 species
GAAGCUGGAAUCGCUAGUAAUCGCGGAUCAGAAUGCCGCGGUGAAUACGUUCCCGGGUCUUGUACACACCGCCCGUCACACCAUGGGAGUCGGAAAUGCCCGAAGUCUGUGACCCAACCUUAGGGAGGGAGCAGCCGAAGGCAGGUCGGAUGACUGGGGUGAAGUCGUAACAAGGUACC